rnacentral:rRNA from 1 species
CGCAUCUGUGCAUGCAGCAUAUCAAUAAGCGGAGGAAAAGAAACUAACAAGGAUUCCCUUAGUAACGGUGAGUGAAGCGGGAAGAGCUCAAAUUUGAAAUCUUCAAGGUUUUACCUUGACGAAUUGUAGUUUAAAGAAGUGUUUUCUGCUGAAGUUUUGGUAAAAGUUCUUUGGAAUAGGACAUCAUAGAGGGUGAGAAUCCCGUAUUUGACCAUUAUUUUCAGCUUUGUGAUACACUUUCAAAGAGUCGGAUUGUUUGGGAAUGCAGUCCCAAAAUGGGUGGUAAAUUUCAUCUAAAGCUAAAUAUUGGCGAGAGGACCGAUAGCGAACAAGUACCGUGAGGGAAAGAUGAAAAGAACUUUGAAAAGAGAGUUAAACAGUACGUGAAAUUGUCAAAAGGGAAGCGUUUGACACCAGUGUUGUUUUCUCGAAAAUCAAUUAAAAAUGGCUCGAUUUUGUAUUGCUGAGACCUUAAAAGCUCACUGUACAUUUUUCGUGUCUUUUUUAAUGCACUUUUCGUUUAACAAGUCAACAUCAGUUUCUUUUGUUGUAAAAGGGUCAUUGGAAGGUGGCUUUCUUUUCGGAGAAAGUGUUUAUAGCCUUUGGCCUCUGCAAUCGAAGAGACUGAGGUCUGCAGCGUAGACUCUUCGGGGUUAGAUACAUUUGUGCUAAGUUAUAGCUUUUUAUAGACAACUUGUUGACUAUAAUUAGUCUUGUAGCUUACUCGCUUAUGCUAUUUUACCUACGCUUAGGAUGUUGACGCAUGAGAUAUACGC